GUAUGAUUUCAGCGUAAUUUGCUCGUCGAAACGAGCUUGAAUCAAAUCAAGACGUAUUAUUGGAAUAUUCCCAUCUCACCAAGAAAAUGGCUGAUCAAAUAUACAACAUGCUUACUGGUGAUGUGACUGAYCUUCCACCAAAGGAAUCCAAUAUUGUUAGAAUCUUCACUAGUUCAACAUUCACAGACACAUUUGAAGAGAGGAACAAGCUGAUGAAAGAUGUGUACCCGAGC